AAUGAAACUAGAAAAGGGACCACAGCUGCAAAUGUUCCAAGCCUCCUUCCUCUGUCCCAAAGGCUCUCUCAGAUAAGGCGGCACAAAAAAACGCAAGCGCGAUGAAAUGUUCUCUGAGCUCCUGCAGUCAUCUGGCACUGAUAGAGCUCAGCAGAGUGUGUGGAGGGA